rnacentral:lncRNA from 1 species
AGCUCAGCUGGAGUGCAAGCUGGGAAUGCAGUCAAGGCUUCAUCCACCCCAGGCAGCUUUCCUGAGCCUUGGGAGACUGGCUCUCAAUGAAUCCAAGCUGCUUUUAUCCUUUGCUGCCUAUCUGUAAGUAAUGAAUCUGCUUCAUAUAACUUGUUGCAUGUGAAUGGGUUCUGUCUUACUGGACUUGGACAAGUAGGAAAACUUCAGCCCAGGAUGCAGUG